UUACGCUGUUAUCCCUAAGGUAAUUUAUUUUAAAAUUCUAAAUUUUAGGAUUUUUGAAUCAUUAAUUUAUGUUUUUAUAUUAAAAGUUUAAAUAAUUUUAAAAUUACCCCAAUUAAAUAAUAUUUUAUUUUUUAUAAUAUUUUAUUAUAAAAUUCUAUAGGGUCUUAUCGUCUUUUAAUUAAAUUUAAGAAUUUUUACUUAAAAUUUAAUUUUAAAUUUUAAUUAUAUUUAUAUAGUUUAUAUUUCAUUAAAUCAUUCAUUCUAGUUUUUAAUUAAAAAACUAUUUAUUAUGCUACCUUUGUACAGUUAUUGAUACUGCAGCCAUUAAAUUUUCAUUGGGCAGAUUUGACUUAAAAUUAUUUUCUAUAAGACAUGUUUUUGUUAAACAGGCG
rnacentral:rRNA from 1 species